ACUUUGAUGUACAAUUCUACCCUUGCACAUUGCAAUAAGAGACUGGAAAGUCGGUUUUGCCAAAGAGCCACGUUCCAGCUUUAUCUAACCUUUUAACAACUAGUGCCAGAUGACAAUGCUUUAAUAUCAGGAGGACACAACGAAAAAGGGCAAUACAGACAACAAUGAAGUGGAAAUAAAGCCAACGAGCCUAUGUACUCCAUGGUUAAUGAUAAAUAAUUUGAGAUAGAUUUUCUCAUUACAUAGCCUAGUCAAUUGGAAAACAGAAAGUGUAAACCAUUAUAGAUCCCCCGUCACAGACUAUUUACCACCCAACAAAGUUCUUUACAAAUUAUCCACCAAUCAUCAGGGUGUGAAAAUUUGAUUGACAGCCAUGCCUCCCUACAAAGUUUGCACAUGUGUAAGUUGAACACCAUUGCAUGGGUUGUUCAGUUGACAUAUUUACACGUAGUUGUCAAAAGUGAAAUUUGUUGGGUAGCCACAGUAAGGCGUGGUGCAAUGUAAGAUUAAUCCCUUUCCCCCAGAUCUGUCAGAAAAACAAAAAAGUUAUCCCAGCUUUGCAAGAGAAGAGAUGCCUUUAGACAAAUUAUUCCCUUAAAUAAUAUUAGGUUACAAAUUCACAUAACUUGUUUCUUCAUGGUUCAUUAAUAUGAAAAA